rnacentral:rRNA from 1 species
CAAAAGAAUUGACGGGGGCUCGCACAAGCGGUGGAGCAUGUGGCUUAAUUCGAUGCAACGCGAAGAACCUUACCGGGGCUUGACAUGGUAGAAGUAGGAACCCGAAAGGGUAACGAACGGUAUCCAGUCCGUAACUAUCACAGGUGUUGCAUGGCUGUCGUCGGCUCGUGUCGUGAGACGUUGGGUUAAGUCCCCUAACGAGCGAAACCCUUGUUUUUAGUUACCAGCGGGUUGUGCCGGGUACUCUAGAAAGACUGCCGUCGUCAAGACGGAGGAAGGUGGGGAUGACGUCAAGUCAUCAUGGCCCUUAUGCCCCGGGCUGCACACGUGCUACAAUGGUCGGUACAAACGGAAGCGAAGCCGAGAGGUGAAGCGAAUCCAAGC